AACGAACGCUGGCGGCAUGCCUAACACAUGCCAGUCGAACGAGACCUUCGGGUCUAGUGGCGCACGGGUGCGUAACGCGUGGGAACCUGCCCUUAGGUUCGGAAUAACUCCCCGAAAGGGGUGCUAAUACCGGAUAAUGUCUUCGGACCAAAGAUUUAUCGCCUUUGGAUGGGCCCGCGUUGGAUUAGCUGGUUGGUAGGGUAAAAGCCUACCAAGGCGACGAUCCAUAGCUGGUCUGAGAGGAUGAUCAGCCACACUGGGACUGAGACACGGCCCAGACUCCUACGGGAGGCAGCAGUGGGGAAUAUUGGACAAUGGGCGAAAGCCUGAUCCAGCAAUGCCGCGUGAGUGAUGAAGGCCUUAGGGUUGUAAAGCUCUUUUACCCGGGAUGAUAAUGACAGUACCGGGAGAAUAAGCUCCGGCUAACUCCGU
rnacentral:rRNA from 1 species